UACGAAGGGAGCUAGCGUUGUUCGGAAUCACUGGGCGUAAAGCGCACGUAGGCGGAUGUGUCAGUCAGGGGUGAAAUCCCGGAGCUCAACUUCGGAACUGCCUUUGAUACAGCACGUCUUGAGUCCGAUAGAGGUGGGUGGAAUUCCUAGUGUAGAGGUGAAAUUCGUAGAUAUCAGGAGGAACACCAGUGGCGAAGGCGGCUUCCUGGACACCAACUGACGCUGAGACGCGAAAGCGUGGGGAGCAAACAGG
rnacentral:rRNA from 1 species